AAAAAUUCGUAUGCGAUGGGCCCACUUGUCGUCUCACCGUGCCGCGUGCGUGCAAGCCUAGAAGAAUCGGCAGCUUUGGUGGCCGCCCCCUUCCCUUUCCCUCCCCAUCCCCUCCUAUCCCUCUCGCCUUCCCACCCUUCAUCCACCCGCCGCUCCUCGAGCCCACCGUCCCGCGCCGCCUCCGGCUCCGGCGAGAUGUCUCGCUUCGGUCGAUCCGGUCCGCCGCCGAUCCGCGACACGUACUCACUCCUCGUCCUCAACAUCACCUUCCGCACGACUGCUGAUGACCUCUUCCCACUCUUCGACAAGUACGGCGAGAUUGUCGACAUCUACAUCCCAAGGGACCGCAGAACUGGUGACUCGCGCGGAUUCGCGUUCGUGAGGUACAAGUACGAGGACGAGGCACAGAAGGCAGUUGAUAGGCUCGAUGGGAGAUUGGUAGAUGGGAGGGAGAUCAUGGUGCAGUUUGCCAAGUACGGCCCAAAUGCUGAGCGGAUUAAUAAAGGGAGAAUAGUGGAGCCAGUUCCAAGGCCAAGGGGCCGUUCUAGAAGCCGCAGUCCAAGACGGAGGUACCGUGAUGAUUAUCGAGAUGACUACCAGGAUAGAGAUUAUAGAAGGCGAAGCCGUAGCCGGAGUAGAGAUAGAUAUGCCCGUGACAGGUACAGAGAUAGGGAUUACCGCCGUCGUAGCCCGAGUCGCAGCUACAGUCCUGAAGAUUACAAGAAGCGUGGGAGAGACAGUUUGUCUCCUGCACGAAGAAGCCCUAGUCGUAGCCGCAGUCGCAGCUACAGUCCUGAUGAUUACAAGAGGCGUGGCAGAGACAGCGCAUCACCUGCAAGUAGGAGCCCUAGUCGCUCCCCUCCUCGCAAGAUGUCACCUUCUCCUGAGAGAUCUCCUGCCAAGCACAAUGAUGACCGGUCUCCACGUUCUCGGAGCCCUUCGACAUAAGCACAAUACACUUGCAGAGCAUCUUGAACAAUGAACAACUCAGGAUGAAUGGACUUGCCCUGAUCCUAUGUAUGGCUACACAUUUGCUCGAUGGUGGGCUCUUCUCAGUUAAAGUUGUGUAGUGUUGUCUGCCAGUUGCUGCUUCAACCUUGGAAUACUACUUUCGUUUGGCACCUGAACUGCUUAUCAAAAACUUUAUUUACAUGAUGGAGUGAAGAUGUGCUGGCUGAUAUGCGGUCAACAUGCACGUAGCUUACUGUUGAAGUUGAUAAAUCUGUGCUGUUUGAGUUGUUGAUGAUGAUGGCUGAUGAGAUGGUGAUUGAUGAGAUGAUGGCACUGCAGCUGCCUGCACCAUUUGCUGUCUGCACCUAUUAUGCUGACAAGUAAGAUUCCAAUGAUUUAGCUGAAUUUAGUGUACCCAUUUUUCCCAUCAUAAAAUGCAUCACACCACGCAUCAACAUGCUAGGUGUUAACCCCCUUUUAGUAUUUGGAUCUAGAAUUGUCUGCACUGAUUUAUCAUAGAUCUGUUUUGGGUUUUUGGAUCAUGAGCUCUGCAUGUGCACCAUUAAUUGUUGCAUGCACUGUUUGUCCUCAAUUCAUUUAUGCCGUUUGCCAAACAUGUCUUAUCAAGAAUGCAUAAGCUCAGUCUUAUUUUGGAAACUGUUCCAUUGGCGUAAGUAGGUGAGUGUUGUUUAAGCUGUUCUCGUGUCAGAAUGCCGUUGCGCAAUCCAAGUUCAUCGGCAUGCUCAUGAGUCAUAAAAGGGUAUCUUUGCCUGGUUAUCCCAAUUGUUUAUUAAACUCACCACCCACUUAUGCUUGCAAGUUGAUGCUUUGCAUGAAAUAAGAAAGUUCUCUGCACUAAUGCAUUGAGAGUAGGAAAGGUGUGAUGGCAUGUGAGUGUUUGGAUUUGCUGGUGCUCUUUACCCUUCUUCAGCAAUAGAAGGCGUGGGAGAGGUUUCGGCAACAGAAUGCCUGACUGGUUGAUUGACCUUCUGGAUCUGAAUGCUGAUGAUUUGCUGCAAAGACUUCGUCCCAUGUCAUUUGUGGAGUCCGUUGACCGAUCAAAUUGUGUAACUACCGAUUAUUUUGUAACACUUUGAUCUGCUUGUGUGUGAAAAAGGGGAAACCUACUUCGGCAGUUCAGCAGUUGGUGGUGUUGUGCCCUGCUCUUUGCAGUACUGUUACGCGUAUAUCAUCUGACCUCACGGAGCACCACUGCACCAGCGCGUCACGGUCCAGUCAUUCUUGGUGUUAGACGGAAACUGGUGUUGACACGUAGAUGUUGAAAUCAAAUUUGUGUGCACGCGCACGGUGCAGUACCGUUGUGUGACUUGUACUAAAAAGAAUGGAGGGAGAGGGAAGGCAGGAGGGAGAGUAGCGUUGAUUUUCAGGAAUGAAAAGCUAUGGCUAAAAGUAUUGAUAGUUGAUUUGUUAUGAUAGAGAAAUACUAUUGAAUAACUGACAGAUUUGACAUGUCUGUAUAUACCUGUUA